GGAGGACGGUCUCAAGAUUCUGCGGGAGAUGUCCAACCUUAAGGUUCUCGUUCUGUAUUUCGAAGUCGUUCCGAGAGAGCCGGUAGCCAUCAGAGGUGGAGGGUUUCCCAGGCUUAUGAAACUCACUAUUUACAGUCGAGUGCCACGGGUGUUCUUCCAGGAAGGAGCUAUGCCCAUGCUUGAAUGGCUUGUUAUCGUGUUCCAGUUCUAUGCUGGCCCACCAAAUAGAGAUCCUGUCGGUAUCAAUCAUCUCACGAAACUCAGCGUAGUCGAGAUUCGCUGUGAAGAGAAAUGGUACAGCACAGACACCCCGUGCAUCAGCGCCACAAUUGACGUCCUUAGAGAAGAAGCAUGGGAGCAUCGCAACGAUGUGUUAUUUUCUGUCACUGCUUACAGUUCAGGGACUUACGCAGCGAACAAAAAUAGUGCAGAUAUUUUGGAAGAGGUCAAUGACGCUUGCAGCAGUGAGACGGGCGAGUUCGAACGAGGAGGAGAGCAGCAGCAGGGUGAGAUGGAGGAAGAGGGGAGCCAGGCAUAAUUGCUAGCCUUGACCAGCAUUCACGAAAUAUAAUGAUGCAGGCUAUGUGGCGCUUCCCCGCGUGUCUUCCAUCCUAGACGUGGUGACAUCGGGGCUACACAAGACACACAACACUCUUCUUCGGAAAAUGCAGGCUGAGCUUUCCCUGUCGGCCUGUACUACAACACUACCGAUGAUUCUUGGCUGCCACCGAUGAUUCCUCGGCCUUUCCCUCUGCCGUCUCCAGCCAAAUCUGGGAGGUUCUCUUGUAGGCGAGGUGGUGGCCGACCUGGCUGGACGGGAUGCUUGAUGCAUGGCUAGUCCGUGGUUGCCUGAUCCUAGUGAUGGCACUUCACUCGUAGUAUACAUGUUUUGAUCCGCCGUAUCUUGUGGUUGAUGUUCUCCGGACGAUGCUGGCAACCAUCGUGGUCGGUUGUGUUCUAUUUGGAUCUAUUUGGGAUACCCAAGAC